ACUCCUGCGGGAGGCAGCAGUGGGGAAUCUUGCGCAAUGGGCGAAAGCCUGACGCAGCCAUGCCGCGUGAAUGAUGAAGGUCUUAGGAUUGUAAAAUUCUUUCACCGGGGACGAUAAUGACGGUACCCGGAGAAGAAGCCCCGGCUAACUUCGUGCCAGCAGCCGCGGUAAUACGAAGGGGGCUAGCGUUGCUCGGAAUUACUGGGCGUAAAGGGAGCGUAGGCGGACAUUUAAGUCAGGGGUGAAAUCCCGGGGCUCAACCUCGGAAUUGCCUUUGAUACUGGGUGUCUUGAGUGUGAGAGAGGUGUGUGGAACUCCGAGUGUAGAGGUGAAAUUCGUAGAUAUUCGGAAGAACACCAGUGGCGAAGGCGACACACUGGCUCAUUACUGACGCUGAGGCUCGAAAGCGUGGGGAGCAAACAGGAUUAGAAACCCGGGUAGUCCCAU
rnacentral:rRNA from 1 species